AGAGUUUGAUCCUGGCUCAGAUUGAACGCUAGCGGCAGGCUUAAUACAUGCAAGUCGAGGGGCAGCACGGUUAGCAAUAACUGGUGGCGACCGGCGCACGGGUGCGUAACACGUAUACAAUCUACCUUAAACAGGGGGGAUAGCCUUUCGAAAGAGAGAUUAAUACCCCGUAAUAAAUUGAACGGCAUCGUUUGAUUUUGAAAGCUCCGGCGGUUUGAGAUGAGUAUGCGUCUGAUUAGCUAGUUGGUGAGGUAACGGCUCACCAAGGCGACGAUCAGUAGGGGACCUGAGAGGACUAACCCCCACACUGGUACUGAGACACGGACCAGACUCCUACGGGAGGCAGCAGUAAGGAAUAUUGGUCAAUGGAGGCAACUCUGAACCAGCCAUGCCGCGUGCAGGAUGACGGCCCUAUGGGUUGUAAACUGCUUUUAUACAAGAGAAAACCCUGGUACGUGUACCAAGUUGAUAGUAUUGUAAGAAUAAGCAUCGGCUAACUUCGUG
rnacentral:rRNA from 1 species